CCUCUCUCAGGGUCGGACAUGGAGAGUUUCCAGUACUCUAUCAGCCUCGACUAUGGGAGGGAGAGUCAAGCAGAGACCCAUCCUUUCCAUUCCUAGCUUUGGCAGUGGCUAGCGAAUGGAAGGCAAUCUGCUACAAGU